GACGAACGCUGGCGGCGUGCUUAACACAUGCAAGUCGAACGGCAAGGCCCUACUUUUGUGGGGUGCCCGAGUGGCGAUCGGGUGAGUAACACGUGUGUAUCCUGCCCUUGACUUUGGGAUAACUUCAGGAAACUGGGGCUAAUCCCGGAUAGCAUCUCCCGCUGCAUGGAGGGGGUUGGAAAGUUUCGGCUGUUGGGGUUGGACUCGCGGCUUAUCAGCUUGUUGGUGGGGUAGUGGCUUACCCAGGCUUUGACGGGUAGCCGGCCUGAGAGCGUGACCGGCCACAAUGGGACUGAGGUACGGCGCAGACUCGUACGUUAGGCAGCAGUGGGGAGUAUUGUACAGUGGGCGGGAGCCUGAGACGGCAGCGCUGCGGGCGGGAUGACGGUCUUCGGGUUGUAAACCGCUUUCGCCUGUGACGAAGCGUUAGUGACGGUAAUGGAUAAAGAAGCACCGGCUAACUACGUG
rnacentral:rRNA from 1 species